rnacentral:rRNA from 1 species
AUUGAACGCUGGCGGCAGGCUUAACACAUGCAAGUCGAGCGAGCGGCGGACGGGUGAGUCAUGUGUGGGAAACUGCCUGAUGGAGGGGGAUAACUACUGGAAACGGUCGCUAAUAACGCAUACCAUCAGAUGUGCCAAUAGGGGAUGGGCUGGUAGGUGGGGUAAUGGCUCACCUCGGCGACGAUCCCUAGCUGUUUGGCGAGGAUGACCAUCCACACGGGAACUGGGACACGGUCCAGACUCCUACGGGAGGCAGCAGUGGGUAAUAUUGCACAAUGGGCGCAAGCCUGAUGCAGCCAUGCCGCGUGUGUGAAGAAGGCCUUCGGGUUGUAAAGCACUUUCAGCGAGGAGGCGUUACUCGCAGAAGAAGCACCGGCUAACUCCGUGCCAGCAGCCGCGGUAAUAC